UUCAGCUGUUUAAUUGUCACAUUCAAACCAUGAUGAUUCAUACAUUUACAGUUCAAUUAAAAAAUCCCAAAUCUUGUAUAAACACAGUCCUAGCAUACGUGUACGCUUGUAAGUCUUGUACGCUUGAAUUUCUUUUCAAUAAUAACACUCCAAUAUAGUAGAUCAAGGAUAUAUGCCAUCAUUCCCAUCAAUAUACUCACUCAGAGUGAACCAAGAGUAUGAAUUAUUACCAUAACGAAGUCUGUUAUUUUGCCCAAAUGAAUUAAAGUAUGCAUAAAUCAAUCCUUAAUCCCUUCACCACUUUUUCGGACGAAAAGCAACAAAAAAUUCGUCAAAAUAAGCAACUUUUCAGGCCAAAUAAAGCAAAAUAUAUCGUAUUUACUCAUAUUGGCCGCGCUCGUGAACGC